GGUAAUGUGGCUUAGUGGUAGAGUGCUUGCCUAGCAUGCAUGAAGCCCUGGGUUCGAUUCCUCAGUACCA
rnacentral:tRNA from 1 species